UGUUUAAAGCUAUGAUUGAUGCCC
rnacentral:piRNA from 1 species